rnacentral:lncRNA from 1 species
UUUUUUUUUUUUUUUUUUUUUUUUUUUGUCUGUGUCCUUUUAGGGCCGCAUCCACGGCAUAUGGAGGUUCCCAAGCUAGGGAUCUAAUCAGAGCUGUUGCUGCUGGCCUAUGCUAGAGCCACAGCAACCAGAUCUGAGCCAUGUCUGCAACCUACACCACAGCUCACGGCAACCCACUUAACCCACUGAGCAAGGUCAGGGAUUGAACCCACAAUCUCGUGGUUCCUAGUUGGAUUCGUUUCUGCUGUGCCACGACAGGAACUCCCCAUAACACCUUUUUGAUGAGAGAUUUUCCUUUAGACUAUUGGGUUCUUGGAUGGAUUUCUACUCCCAGCUUGCAGCAUUCACAUAGAGGUAAUCAGUUAAAAGAUGUUUGAUAAAGAUGUUGAUCUGAAGGCAGAGAACACCUAGAACAUGAGGACCCAGACUAGGAAAUUGGGUUUUCUGAAGGUUUCCAAGCUCCAGUUUCUUGAGCUCAGGGCUCAGUUACUAAUUUCCUGUAUCCACCUGUGCCUGGGUUGGGCCAUGACCCAGGUCUUAAGACCUGGCCUGGCUGAACCUGGCCCAGGCUGUGGCCCCUCGUGUUCCACUGCAGGGUCCCCAGCUUCCCCAGCCUCCCGUUUCUGUCUGUCAGCAACACUCCCGUUGCACCGGCUCCUCCAAAUGUCUUUUAUGUUAUGUCCAAAAACAAUUCCUCAUCUGAGCCAAGGAAUGUAUUGAUUCUGGGUAAGUAAGUAACUAUUAAUUUCAUGAUUUUAGCUGUAAUGUACCUUUGGGGAUAAGGAUAGAUUUCUUAGAGUAUAGCUUCUCUGAUGUUUUGCAGCUCUUUGGUAGGCUAUUUUAAAUAUUUACAAGGACACACCAGGUUGAGAGAGCAGUAGCACAGAGUGGUGGAAAGGGAACCAUAUUAGAAACUGGAAGGGAUUCUACUUCUGCUUAGCUAAGUGACUUGGGUAAAUCACCCCCAUUUCUCCCAGAAAAUAAGAGGGCUGGAAUAAUCCUUUAGCAUAUUUCUUGCAUGAACUUUAAGAAGGCUCUUGCUAUCAGAACAGAAAAAAGACAUUAACUAACACAAGCCAAAGUCUUCACCAAUCCAGAUUUUUCUAAGUUGGAAUUACUCAUUCCAUAAAAGCAAUUAACAGUCUUGGGCAUGUGAAUAAUAUUUGAAUGAUUAAAGAAUGAGAGGGGAAAAAAAAGCAAUUUACUUCCUAAGGUUUUUUUUAUCGUUAUUUCCAACACUUUUUUUUCCCACUGUGUAACAUGGGGACCCAGUUACGCAUACAUGUGUACAUAAUUUUUUCUCCUAUUGUCGUGCGGUAAGUAUCUCGACACCUAAAUAUUUCUUGAAUCUGUCAUUUCUAAAUCCCUGCUGCCGCUGCCCUACUGCAGCCACCCCUAUGUUUUCCUGCGCUGCCGACCAGUCUUUUGUGGGGGUCCCCUUGCACUCGUACUCCAUGUGACCAUCCAAGUGCCAGAACCUGUCCAUCUGCCUUCAGCUCACUUAUUUCUCAAUACACUGAACAUGCUAUUCAACAUCUCUCCACCCCCCAGUCCUCUUCCUGUGCUCCUGUUGCAGUGCUGAGUUACCUAGCACAGGUCUGUUGGGAACCCUUUCGAGUCAGGCCCCAACUAGGGGCACAGGGUUGUUCCAGCCAACAGAACCAGACGGAGCGUGGUUCAGAAGAAAAGCAAAGUUCUAUUCUCUGCUCAAAGAACAGAGAGGGCGAAGCUCCAGGGCGAAAGCGAGCUCCCGGCUGGGCUAUGGGCGGGGCUGCUUUGUAGGGAUUCGUCCGCGGGGCGGGGGCGGGGCUCGAGGGCGUGGUUCUCCCAGUCCCGGCAGAUCCAGUGCGGGAUUGGCCUUGGCACCUGGCCCCGCCUGAAACGAGGCUGAGCACAAAGGAAAAGAAAAGGUUAGACUUUAUUUUAUUACCCAGAAUCUAUUUUUAUUUCCUGGGAAUUGUUACUGGCCUUUGCAGGGGUCAUUUGGGUUGACUUUGACUCCUCCUUGCUCAUCCCAGCAUUUUCUCUAAUUAAUCAUCAGUCUACUUAAUUCUCUCCAUCCUUAGUCUCUUUAAAACGUGUCCCCCUCUCUUGACCACUGUUGCUGCCUUUAUUAAAGCCACCAUAGUGUUGCCCAGGUAUGAGUGUAACAGUCUCUGAACUGGGGGCCUCCGCCUUUAGUCUUUGCCCCCUUUUCCCUGCUAGAAGAUGCGGACAGGUGGUCUCUACCUAGAAGAGAAGUUUAUCCAAUAAGCUGUAGCCAGUCAAUAAUUUCCUUUCUUUGCUUCUGCCUUUUCUUUCUGAAAGUCUCUGCCCAGUUCCUGUUGGUGGAACAUGCCUGACCACUUCUGGUUUGAUUCUGCCUGAUUAGAACUGAUGUUUUGCUCACAUAAACUCUCAGCAUUUAACACACCUCAGACCAUCUUUUAACAGUGGCAAACCAGUGUUCCCGGCUCGGCUCUGGCCGCUCUGCUCUAGGAGCCUCAUUCUCCUGUCCCUGCUGGCCUUACGUGUGGUUUCCACCCACAAUGCCCAGUUCCAAAUACGGUUGUUUUUUUCUUUUUAAGGCCACACCUGCGGCAUAUAUAUGGAAGUUCCUUGGCUACGAGUCCACUUGGAGCUGCCGCUGCUAGCCUACACCACAGCCACAACACCACCAGAUCCUUAACCCACUGAACAAGGCCAGGGAUGGAACUCACAUCCGCAUGGAUACUACUUAGGUUCUUAACUUGCUGAGCCAUAAAGAGAACUCCCCAAAUGCAAAUUUUACAAUCAUGUAUUUCAGGUCUCCUCUGUACCAGGGCUUGCUUCCUAUACUUCCUUCAGAACUCAGCGGAAGCAUAGCAUCUCUCAGGCUCCUCUCUGACCACCCGCCCCUCCUCCCAUCGCUGCUCCUGGUCACCCCUCACCAUGCUCUGCUCCCAGCUCCAUCCUUGCACUCGCAUCCCGAUGAUAUAAUUACCACAUAUUUGUCUCUUUCCCUGACUGGGUUGGGUGCUACUGAAGGCAGGGACUCUUGGGGGGCGGGGGGACUGGUUGCUGGUAGGGUUGUGGGACUGCCAGAAAUUCUCUACGGAAGGAGUUGAGAGUUGGGAGAGGGGGUUGGGGGAUGGGAUGAGGCUGAGCGGUGGCCAGACUCUGAAAGCUUUCCAAGCUGUGGCCCAUUUCUGACUGAUUUUUCCUUUUAAUAGGCGUUGUUUGGCUAUGCUUUUCCAGACAAAAAUGAAGCAGAUAAUAAAUGCAAUGUUUUUUGUCUUUCUGUCAGAGAAGCAAAGAAAAAAAAUAAUUUGUCUCUUCAUUUGAGGGAAAAAAAAAAAUCAGCUAACAAAGGGAGUGGUUGUAAACAAUGGAAUUAAUUGCUUCUCCUAGGACUAUUAUUUGGUGUCUAUUUAAGGCUACUAGAUUUUAUUUUAAUUACUCAAUGGUGUAUCCAAUUUGCAUAUAUUUGCAUAUGUCUCUGUGAUGUCUUUAAGAAAUCUAAGGUAACUUCAGCUGACUCCAAGUCUUACCUUUAGAGC